GAUCCUAAGCAGUAAUAAUUCUAGCCUUCUGCUCAUUUGAUGCAGCAAAUAAGCAAGUACUGUUGGGUGGAGAUUAUAUAAAAUCUAAAUCACGGGAUGUCUGAGAAUUUGAAUGUGGUUGUGACUGAAAGAUAUAGGGUUUUUAACGAACAAGAGACCAUUGUGUCACUAGAGCCUCUCCUGUGCAUAUGACAAUGUAAUGUGAGAUGACAGGGGGGUGGUCAGUUCACAGGAUGAUCUUCUGCAACCAUGCAGAUGAUUAAUCAUUUUAAUACCAAGUACGUUUGUAACCAAACAAUAUCCAAAAUAUGUAAAUGAAUCACAACUUUAUAUCCUGGCAACUUGGCAACUGUGAACUUUUAUACACUGUCUCAAGUAGUAAAAUCAUAUUUAGCAACAUUGCACAAUGUACAGACAGUAGAUAUAUAUAUGGACUCAAUAAACAUACAGUAAAAUAUUUUAAGCCUUUAUUUCUUGCAAUUUUAAUGAUUAUGGCUUACAGAUAGUGUGAACACAACAUUCAGUGUCUUAGAAAAUUUGACUAUUCUGAAAAAGUUAAAUAGUGGAAGCUCAUUGUGUCACACCCUAAUCAGCUAAUGAGCUCAAAAUGCCUUAACCCUCCUGUUGUCCUUGGAUCAAAAUGACCCGCCACUGUGUUAAAACCCCCCAAAAAAUCCACUAAGUGCUAUUUUUUUAACUUGAAAUUUUAUGACUUUUCCUAGAUUGGCCCCAACAAUAGAAAAAGUGAAAUGUUGCUUUUAUUCACAUUUCCAUAUAAGCUGUACAAAGAAAGGUACAAAGGUGGUCUUCGGGUCAAAAUGACCCGUGAGACAAAUAGAGUUGAAAUCAAGGUCACAGAGUUAUUUACAAACCACAGAAUGUUACAAUGUUUUAGAUGUGUCUCAGAUCAAUCAGUAGCAGAAGUUAACAAGGAAAAUCAGGUGGUGUUCUCGCAGGCUUCAGAAGACCACCUGUUUAUUUCCAGAGGUUAUAAAGAAGUUGCAGAUAACAGGACCCUGAAUUCUGUCUGUGCUGAAGCCAUGAGUGUGCGUUAUACUGCUGAAGACCCUGUAGAGCUGAUUUUCUCAGAUGUCCAACAAGACAACUCUGAUUCAGAAGAGGAAGUGGAAGAUGUGUCCGAAGAAGAAGAUGGGGAGGAAUACAACCCAGAGCAUGAUGAAUCAUCUUCAGAAGAAGAAAACCCUGAAGCUGAAAGAAAGACUUUCCUUUCAAAAAAUGGCAAAAUAACAUGGUCCUGAGCAGCAUAUGACCAACACGGCAGGCAUGCAGAACAAAACAUCAUAAAGAUGACCCCAGGACCCACAACGUAUGCGUUUCUCAUGCCCAUGAUAUUGUCUCUACAUUCUACUUGUUUAUCACACCAGCAAUCGAAAAAAUAAUUCUGGGGAUGACAAAUCUGGAGGGUUUUCGCAAAUAUGGAGACAGCUGGAAAAAGAUGGAUGAGAUUGACCUGCAGGCCUACUUAGGGCUGCUAAUCUUAGCAGGUGUAUAGAGGUCCCAAGGUGAGGCUGCAGCUAGUCUAUGGAAUGCUGAGAGUGGAAGGCCAAUUUUCCAAGCCACAAUGCCACUCAAAGUCUUUCACACCUCCUCAAGACUGCUACGAUUUGAUGACCGUGAGUCAAGACCAGCAAGACUUGUGACAGACAAACCUGCAACCAUAAGAGAGGUAUGGGACAAGUGGGUGGAGCGGCUGCCCUACUUCUACAAUCCAGGACCUGACGUAACAGUGGAUGAACAACUGGUUCCAUUUAGAGGUCGUUGUUCUUUCUGGCAGUAUAUGCCCAGCAAGCCAGCAAAAUAUGGGACCAAGUCAUGAGUGGCUUGCGAUGCCAAAUCAAGCUAUGCUUGGAAAAUGCAAGUCUAUACUGGCAAGCCGACCAGUGGAUGCCCAGAGAAGAAUCAGGGGAUGCGAGUUGUGCCACGUGACGUGACAAUUUCUUCACCUCUUAUGAACUCGGACCGCAGCUCCUGAAGAGGAAGAUCACCAUGAUUGGUACAGUUCGAAAGAAUAAGCCUGAGCUCCCACCUGCACUGAGAGGUCUUCUCCUCAAAGUUUGCCUUCACGCCCAACACUACUCUAGUUUCCUACCUCCCAAAGAAAAACAAGAAUGUAGUUCUUCUGAGCACACUGCACACAGACGGUGACAUUAGCGAUCGUGAGGACAGGAAGCUAAUCAUCAUCCUAGACUACAACCGCAACAAAGGAGGUGUGGACAACCUGGAUAAGAUGAUUGGAACAUAUAGCUGCAGAAGAAUGACUGCCCGCUGGCCUCUGGUCAUCUUCCACAACAUCAUUGAUGUUUCCUCCUUUGUGAUUUGGAGAGGGAUCAACCCAACCUGGAUGUCUCAUAAGCAGAACAAGAGGAGGUUGUUCCUGGAGCAGCUAGGAAAGGCACUUGUAACUCCACUCAUUGAAAGAAGGAAGCAUGUCCCCCGCACAGAACCCUCAGCAGCAGUUGUGAAAGCUAUUCAGAGUGCAGAAGCUCCUGAUCAACCUGAGGAUCCAUCUACCACAGCCCUUCCCCAGCUAGGGCAAGUAAGAGGAAGACAUGUCAGUUCUGCCCUCAAAAGAAGGACUGCAAAACACAUACUGUGUGCUGCAGGUGUAAGAAAUAUAUCUGCAAGGGCUGUACACUUGUAUACUGCCCUACAUGUGCUAAUUGGUUGAAUGGUUUGUUAUUUUUCAUAUUUUUGUAUUGUACAUUGUCUUAAAUUGUUCACUGGAGAAAAUAAAUGAAACUGAGUCAGUGGGAUUAAUAAAAAUGUAUUCAAGACUC